rnacentral:tRNA from 1 species
UCCUGGUUAGCUCAGUUGGUAGAGCGAUCCACUGGAAAUGGCGAAGUCCCUGGUGCGAUACCAGGAUCAAGCG